GAUGGAUGUCUUGGCUCGAGCAUCGAUGAAGGGCGCAGUGAAGUGUGAUGAGCACUGUGAGUUGCAGGAUUCCGUGAGCCAACAAGAACUCGAACGUGCGCCGCGCUUUUGGGAUAUCCCUGAAAGCACGCUUGCUUCAGCGUCUGC
rnacentral:rRNA from 1 species